GGGCCAAUGAUUGGGGUGAAGUCGUAACAAGGUAGCCGUAUCGGAAGGUGCGGCUGGAUCACCUCCUUUCUAAGGA
rnacentral:rRNA from 1 species